rnacentral:lncRNA from 1 species
AGGAAGAAAGGAAAGGAAGGGGGGGAGAAUGGGAGGGAGGUAGGUAUGAAGGAAGUGGGGGGAGGAAGGAAGGAAGAGAGGGAGUGAGAGAAAGUGACAGGAAAGCACGAAGGAAGGGAGGAAGGAAGUCAGGAGGGCAGAAUGGAAAGAAGGAAGUAAAGGAAGAGAGUAAAGACUGUAGGGAGGGACAAAGGCAGGCAGGAAGGAAGGCAGGCAGGCAGAGAGGAAGGGAGGAAGAAAGGAAAGGAAGGGGGGGGAGGGAGGUAGGUAUGAAGAGAGGGAGUGAGAGAAAGUGACAGGAAAGUACGAAGGAAGGGAGGGAGGAAGUAAAGGAAGAGAGUAAAGACUGGAGGGAGGGAGGAAGGCAUGGGGGGAGGGAGGAAGGCAGGAAGGAAGGCAGGCAGGCAGAGAAGGAGGGAGGGAGGAAGAAAGGAAAGGAAGGGGGGGAGAAUGGGAGGGAGGUAGGUAUGAAGGAAGUGGGGGAGGAAGGAAGGAAGAGAGGGAGUGAGAGAAAGUGACAGGAAAGCACGAAGGAGGGGAGGAAGGAAAAAAGGGAGGACGGGAGGGAGGAAGGAAGGAAGGGAG